GACGAACGCUGGCGGCGUGCUUAACACAUGCAAGUCGAACGGAAAGGCCCUGCUUUUGUGGGGUGCUCGAGUGGCGAACGGGAGAGUAACACGUGAGUCACCUGCCCUUGACUUUGGGAUAACUUCAGGAAACUGGGGAUAAUACCGGAUAGGAGCUCCUGCUGCAUGGUGGGGGUUGGAAAGUUUCGGCGGUUGGGGAUGGACUCGCGGCUUAUCAGCUUGUUGGUGGGGUAGUGGCUUACCAAGGCAUUGACGGGUAGCCGGCCUGAGAGGGUGACCGGCCACAUUGGGACUGAGAUACGGCCCAGACUCCUACGGGAGGCAGCAGUGGGGAAUAUUGCACAAUGGGCGGAAGCCUGAUGCAGCAACGCCGCGUGCGGGAUGACGGCCUUCGGGUUGUAAACCGCUUUCGCCUGUGACGAAGCGUGAGUGACGGUAAUGGGUAAAGAAGCACCGGCUAACUACGUG
rnacentral:rRNA from 1 species